rnacentral:rRNA from 1 species
CAGUCGCCACGGUAAUACGGAGGGUGCAAGCGUUAAUCGGAAUUACUGGGCGUAAAGCGCACGCAGGCGGUCUGACAAGUCAGAUGUGAAAUCCCCGGGCUUAACCUGGGAACUGCAUUUGAAACUGUCAGGCUGGAGUCUUGUAGAGGGGGGUAGAAUUCCAGGUGUAGCGGUGAAAUGCGUAGAGAUCUGGAGGAAUACCGGUGGCGAAGGCGGCCCCCUGGACAAAGACUGACGCUCAGGUGCGAAAGCGUGGGGAGCAAACAGGAUUAGAUACCCGAGUAGUCCAUGUCUCUUAUAC